GAUGAACGCUAGCUACAGGCUUAACACAUGCAAGUCGAGGGACCGGCGCACGGGUGAGUAACACGUAUCCAACCUGCCCUUUACUCGGGGAUAGCCUUUCGGAAGAAAGAUUAAUACCCGAUAUGAAGGAUGGGGAUGCGUUCCAUUAGGUUGUUGGUGAGGUAACGGCUCACCAAGCUUUCGAUGGAUAGGGGUUCUGAGAGGAAGGUCCCCCACAUGGGAACUGAGACAAGGUCCAAACUCCUACGCGAGGCAGCAGUGAGGAAUAUUGGUCAAUAGGCGCUAGCGUGAACCAGCCAAGUAGCGUGAAGGAUGAAGGGUUAUGGGUCGUAAACUUCUUUUAUAUAAGAAUAUGUAGUAUAUGAAUAAGGAUCGGCUAACUCCGUGCCAGCAGCCGCGGUAAUUC
rnacentral:rRNA from 1 species